GACGAUAAAUAGCAAACUUGAGUGAAAGCCAAGGCGCAAAGCCUUGGGUCUUCCAGUUGUCUAACUGAUGAUUGCCAGGUUACCGAU
rnacentral:ncRNA from 1 species